AUUGAACGCUGGCGGAAUGCUUUACACAUGCAAGUCGAACGGCAGCACGGGGCAACCUGGUGGCGAGUGGCGAACGGGUGAGUAAUACAUCGGAACGUGCCCAGUCGUGGGGGAUAACGCAGCGAAAGCUGUGCUAAUACCGCAUGAGAACUGAGGUUGAAAGCGGGGGACUCGCAAGGGCCUCGCGCGAUUGGAGCGGCCGAUGGCAGAUUAGGUAGUUGGUGGGGUAAAGGCCCACCAAGCCGACGAUCUGUAGCUGGUCUGAGAGGACGACCAGCCACACUGGGACUGGGACACGGCCCAGACUCCUACGGGAGGCAGCAGUUGGGAAUUUUGGACAAUGGGCGCAAGCCUGAUCCAGCCAUUCCGCGUGCAGGAUGAAGGCCUUCGGGUUGUAAACUGCUUUUGGACGGAACGAAAAGCCCUCUUCUAAUACAGGGGGGUCAUGACGGUACUGUCAGAAUAAGCACCGGCUAACUACGUGCCAGCCGCCGCGGUAU
rnacentral:rRNA from 1 species